UGGAAGUGGACAGAGUAAAGGGCUGCCUGA
rnacentral:piRNA from 1 species